rnacentral:lncRNA from 1 species
GAAGUUAUCGAUAAACAAGAAAUGGAGAUGAACUGGUUGAAAAACCUGGAGAGAGAAAAGAUGGGGCUACAAAAGACAGAGAGACUGAAACAAAUGGAGAGAGAGAAUGAGAGAAAGAGACAGAUGGAGCAACUGAAGGCAUCAGAGAGACAUGCAGAGUUGGAAAGAGACAAAGGGAUACAGAAAGAGAUGGAACGACUACAAAAACAGAAGCAGAGAGAGAUGGAGCAGCUACAGGAGCAAGAGAGAGAGAAACAAAGGCAGAAAGAGAUAGACAGAAUGAUUGACUUGGAAAAAGAAAAAGCACGACAGCAAGACAUUGAGAAAUUGGAACAGAUUAUGAGACAGGAAGAACUGAAGAAGCAAUGGGAAGAGAAACAGAAGACACUGGAAAAACAAAUGGGAGAAAAACAGAGAGAGAUGGAAAGAAAGCUUCAACAAAAACAAAAAGAACUGGAGCAAUGUUUGAAUGGAAGGCAGCAAAAAAAUGAGGAGCAGAGGCAAGAGACAGAGAGGGAGAUGGAGCGUCUGAAAGAGAUGGAGAGAGAGAUCAAGAAGAAGGGACAAAUGGAACUGAGGGAGAAAGAGGAGAGACGGAGGGAGAUGGAGCUGAAGCAGCUGGAGGAGAUGAACAAUAACACAAAAGAGAUAGAAAAACAGAAAGAAAAGUUGGAAAGAAAAGCCAAGAAAGAGGAGAUGUUGAAAGAGCUGGAGACAGCAGAAUGUCAAAGGCAGAUACAAAUGGAAGAAAAAAAACAAAGAGAGAGAGAAAGACUUCUAGACGUCCAAAGAAGGGAGAUGCAGGAGGAAAAACAAGAACUGGAGUUGCAGAAAAUUAAAACCUCUGAGAGGGAAAAGAAACUCAAGGAAAGGGAGCAAAAGAUGAAAGAGAAAAACCAAAGUGAGCUGCAACAAAUGGAGGAGAAGUGGAGAGUAUUGGCUCAGCAGAAGGAAGAUGAAUGGGACGAGAGGUGUAAAGAGAUUGAAAAACAGAGAGAAAAGGCAGAAAGAGUGGCCAAGGCAGAGCACGACAGAUUACAAAAACUGGAGAGAACAGAAAGUCAAAGACAGAUUAAAAUGAAAGAGGAAAAACAACGACAGACAGAAAGACUUCUAGAGGUUCAGAGGAUGGAGAUGGUGGAGAACAAACGAGAACUGGAGUUGCAGAAAUGUCCUGAAGCUGACAAGGAAGAAAAACUCAAGGAAAUGGAGCAACGGCUGAAAGAGAAAAGCCAAAGUGAGCUGCAACAAAUGGAGGAGAAGUGGAGAGUAUUGGCUCAGCAGAAGGAAGAUGAAUGGGACGAGAGGUGUAAAGAGAUUGAAAAACAGAGAGAAAAGGCAGAAAGAGAGGCCAAGGAAGAGAGAGUGAGAUUGCAAGAGUUAGAAAGACAGGAACAACAAAGGCAGAUGAUAAAGGAGCUACAGAAAGAGAGAGAGAGUUUCUUGAAGAUACAGAGGAAGGAGAGCAAACAAAGGAAGAUGGAUGAGAAACAGCAACUGGAAUUACAGAAAGCUGCCGUAGCAGAAAAAGAGGAGAAACUUAAAGAAAUGGAGAGAAAGAUGACAGAAAAAAAUCAGACUGAGCUAAAACAAAUGGAGGAAAACUGGACAAAAACAGCCCAACAGAAGGAAGAGCAAUGGAAAGAAAGAUGCAGAGCGAUAGAAAAACAGAAAGAAGAAGCAGAAAAAGAAGCCAAAAAAGACAAAGAGAUAUUACAAGAGCAAAGGAGAACAGAACAGCAAAUGCAGAUUGAAAUGGAAGAACUAAGAGAGGUAGAAAGAAGAGAUAAUGCAGAGAGACAAAGAGAGAUGGAGAAGAGAAAGCUGGACAAAGAGAGAAAAGAAGAGGAGAGACUAAGGCAAAGCCAAAUUAAGAUAACACAAAGAGAAUUUGAGUUACAGAAAGUUGUUGAGGCAGAGAUGGAGGAGAAACUCAAGGAAAUUGAAAGAAACAUACAAGAGACAAACAUCGCUAAGCUUAGACAAACAGAGGAAAAGUGGACAGCAGUAGCCCAGCAAAAGGAGAAUGAGUGGAAAGAGAGAUGCAGAGAGAUUGAAAAACAAAAAGAGGAGGCAGAAACCGAGGCUAAAAAAGGGGAAGAGAGAUUGCAAGAACUGCAGAGGGAGAAACUACAAAGGCAAAUUGAAGUGGACAAACAAAAAGAGAGAGAAAGGUUUCUGGAGAUCCAAAAAAGGGAGAUAGAGGAGAGACAAAAAAAGUUGGAGAUGGAGAAAAUUAAAGAAGAGAAAAGAGUAAGGCAUAUUGAGGAGAGACAAAGAGAGAUUGAGCUAAAACGAGAAAUGGAGUUACAAAAAACAGCAGAGGCAGAGAAACUCAAGGAAACUGAAAGAAUCAUGAAAGAAAAAAAUGAGUCUGAGCUGCGACAAAUGGAGGAAAAGUGGAAGGCAAUUGCUCAGCAAAAGGAGAAUGAGUGGAAAGAGAGAUGUGAACAAAUAGAGAAACAAAGGAAAGAGGCAGAGAGUAGACGGCUGGUGGAAGAAGCCAAGAGAGAGGAACGGAGAUUGCAAGAGGUAGAAAGAGAAAACCUUCAAAAGCAUCUUCAAACUGAAGAGGAAAAACAAAAAGACAAAGAUAGACUCCUGGAGACCCAAAAAAUGGAGAUGGAGGAGAGCGAACUAGAAAUGGGACAGAAAGAGUUGGAGAUGGAGAGAAAAGAAGAGAAAAGUCUGAGGCAUAUUGCGGAGAGACAAAGAGAGAUUGAGCUAAAACGAGAAAUGGAGUUACAAAAGACAGCAGAGGCAGAGAAACUCAAGGAAACUGAGAGAAGCAUGAAAAUAAAAAACGAGGCUGAGCUGCGACAAAUAGACGAAAAAUUUAAGGCAACUGGUCAGCAAAAGGAGAAUGAGUGGAAAGAGAGAUGUGAACAAAUAGAGAAACAAAGGAAAGAGGCAGAGAGUAGACGAAUGGUGGAAGAAGCCAAGAGAGAGGAAGAGAGAUUCCAAGAGGUAGAAAGAGAAAAACUUCAAAAGCAGCUUCAAACUGAUGAAAAAACUAGUGCACAGGGAAUCAAUUCUGGACAGCCUUUCAAAUCGAAAUGGCAAAUACGUUUGGAGAAAGAGAAGGAGAAACAGAGAGAGGCCAGGAGAAAUGCAGGUGAGAGGCAGAGAAAGGCACAAGAGGCAUGGAAAGAAGAGCUUAAAAGGAGAGAGGAGAAGAGAAAGAAUGAUGAAGAGGGGAGAUACUGGUUUGAACACCCAGAGGAAUGGCGCAAGCUCCAGGAACAGCUGGCCAUCAAGAAAGAGGACGAACGACGACUGCAACUGGAGAAGAAAUGGGAAGAAGAGGCAAGGAGGAUGGAAGAGAGAAAGAAAAGGGAGCAAGAAAUUGAGGAUGAAAUGAGACGUGAGAGGGAGAGGCAGCGAGAGACUAAGCGACAGAAGGAAAUAGAGAAACAGGAGAUUGAAAUGA